CAUGAUAUAAAACUGCUCCUCCUGGACAGAAGCACAGAAGCUGCACUGCAGAAACUACAGUCUUCCAGUUUUCUCUGCAUGGAUUAACAGAAUAAUUCGACAAGGUAUCAAAGGCUGCAUUGAAUGAUUAAGAAAAGCUGAUCUGCCUCUUGACAAGGCCAAUCAUCUAAAAAAGUUACAGGGAACGAUGGUAUUAGGUAUAUACUGUGAACAACUAACGAAAGAAUAAUCAGUUAUCUUUUGGGGGAAGGCUGCAUAGUACACAGGAAAUGACUGUGUGCUGGUAGCCACUCCCCAUGAGCAUCCCCCAGACAUAUUUCUACUGAUAACACACCACACGUGGGGGUUGCCUGCUGUACAAACUGCACUUAGACACCAUCAUGCUCACCAUGCUCACAUGCAAGAGAAAAAGGGCCAAGGCAGGAUAUGGGAUUGCCAGGCUCUGACCUUCUGUGCCAGCCACAGACAAUACACAGGUAAGACCAGCUUGUUAAAUAGACAGGCAAGAGCUACGAGUAUUAAUCUGUGCCGAAAAUCAGACGUUUGUUCAGCUGAAAAUUUAACGUCUAUAAUUCUGUGGUCAGGUUACAGGCUCACAUUCCACCAAAUGCAAAGACCUAGGAGUAACAUUGGAAAAAUCCAAAUGUAGAACCAAUAAUGAGCAGGUAAAAAAAACACCCAAAAAACUGUGCAAACUUUCAACACUAGCCUUUGAGCACACUUCAGUGGGAUUCUGUUAAGCUCUCAGAGAGUUUAAAGGGUAGCCACCUCCAACUUCACAGCAAUAUUUUUAAUCUCAAAUAAGUUUUAACUAGAGAUCUCAGAUUUUCUAACAAUAACCACUUGCCAGUCUUCCAGGGCAAGAAGUGUUUGGAGAGCUGCUCCUCGGCCAGCCCCCAGAGCCACAGAGGCAGGGACAGGCCUCUCCACUGGCAUGGUAGGCUGGGAGCUGCCUUGAGCCCCACCGCGCGGCUCCGAGCCUGAGACAUGGACAGGGACAUCUGCCUCCCAUCGCAUGGGAAGCCUGUUACCACAGACAAAAACAUAAUCCAUGUACCAAGCUGCUCUCUCAGACCCCUCCCCCUCCUUUAUUUCAAUCACUUGUGAGUGAAAAUAGCAUACAUACACGAAUGAAUUAAGCAGCACAUAGCGCAUCAAAGAAAGCUUAAAUUAAAUGCAAGAUUCUCAAGUACGUUCCCCAUUCUACCCUCAUGAAUGCAAAUUGUAUUGCUCCAUGCAUAUGGAAAGCAUUAUUUUUUUCAGCCGGCAGCACAAAAUAUGAAGAGUAUGAAUCAAGCAGAUCAGUGACUCCUUUCUUCUCCACACAAUGAUGCCGUGUUACAAAAGAAUAUUUUUAGGUCACGCACUUUCAUCAGGCCAGCGGGCCAAGAGGAUGGCUGUAACUCUUGUGUAAGGGCAACUUGUUCCACCACUUUCAGCAAAGCAAAACCAUGCUCUUUGCUGUAUGCUCGCCACUUUUGUGCCUGUGAGCACUCAGUUGGCAUCUCUGGAGGAGAAACAGGCCAGUAUUUUCUGGAGGCUGCUGCGCGUCACCAAAAUCAAACUAUAUUCAUAAACCCUCUGUGAAAACUAUUCCUUGCCCUACCUUUUCUGCUGCAUAUAAAAAGUUAAACAUUGUUUUAUGAGCAAAUAUAUAAACCAGAAGCAGUUAACUUCAUAAACUCUUCUAACAUGUCAUUCAGUUAUACUCUGCCUUUACCACUCUGUCAUUGACUCUCUUGAAUCCCCUCCCCACCUCCCUCAUGCUGCCAACAAAAAAAUAAUUGGUUUCAUUAAAAAAAUGUAACAUAAUCACUUCACUAUAUGGAUAUCCUAAUUUUUAAUUUAUGAGAACUGGUGUGCACAGAACCCUAAAGCUGGAACUAGUCCCCCUGCCUGACAUCAAACCAGCCUGGUUUCAAUGCAAGGUGCUUCUCAGUAAUGUGAUGACCACCAUUCCCCUCUGCUGAAAGUCAACUCAUCAUUAGUAUAAACAAAAAGCAAAGGGAAUGCAAAACAGACAACUAUUUUUAAUUAUAAAUAAAAAUGUCAAAAAGAUAAAAAAAGCUGGAAACAGCAAGCAGGAGGAAAACAACAUGAUGGGACUUAAAAUUCUACUUAAGACCAACUCUGUUAGCAUUAAUUUAUAAACACUGACAGCUAAAAACAGACUGGAUGAGAGUACUGGCUUUCUUGGGAUUUGAGAGCUGCUAUAUAUAGAAUCCUGAGUGGCCUAAUUUUUUCUGAAUUGCUGUUUUCAGUUGUCUUGACGUUGCUGGAAGGAAAAAAAAAAUGCUGGCUGAAAAACCAAUGGAAGUUUAAUAUCUCUGAUGAGCGCUCCAUGGAGGUGGUGGUACCCAGACCCGGCAAGUCAGAACUUUACAGCUUGUAUCAGCAACAUCGCCAGGUGACUCCAGCCUCAGACUGAAAGCCGCUUACCUAAAGCAAGGAAAGAAAUGUGAAAAGUACGGAAAAGAGGAAAGAUGAACAAAUAACUCCCGCAGUAGAAGCAUGGAAGUGCUGCACCUUGAGGAAGGUCUUGAAAGUAAUCAAACUUCACCAUUAAAGAGGGUAUUGAUAGUUUUCAAAAUCUAAAUUAACUGCCACUGUAGCUGUUUGCAUGUUGUGGUCCAUCUGGCUGAGAGAAUGAGGCCUCACUGAGUAUUUCCACUGUUCAAUUCCUAUACACCAACUUAAGAUGAUUUGGAACAGCACUGGAAAUAAAAAGUAAAAUUAUCUCCAAGUGUCUUUGGUUAGCACAUUUUACUGAUUUUUUUUUUUAUUAUUCUUUGUCAGUACAGAGCUUGCGAAAUAUGACAUUCCUAAGUCCACCAUCCAUGUUCCAACAUACUAGGUUUAAGAAAUUAUCAGCUCUGAGCUUCUUAUGAUGAGACAAACUAAAUUCCUGGUACUUACUUAGAAAUUACAAUGGCAGAAUAAUGCUUCAAAACCAAAUGUCAAGUAAUUUAAAAUUUGGUACCAGGUACUGUUUUUUUCCUACCACUUGGAAUAAGCAGAGCUGGAUUAUCUCUUGAAUGAUUACAGCAGUCAAGUGACUUAUGACUUGCUGUAGUCAGUGACUUGCAUUGGGUUAUGCAAAAUGCAAGUUAUCUGGAGCUAAGUGUCACUUAAAUGAUGUGCCCCUUUACAGUUAAACAAUGCAAAGACAGAACUCUACUUAAUACACAUCUAAGUCGGUUGUCAGAGCACAGAACAAACUGAAACCAAGCUGCCAACAGGAGUUAUUAACUACUUAUUUUUUGAUGCACUCUCAAAACUAGUAUUGCCCACAGAUAAAUUCAGCAAAGGUAGAUCUCUUUUUUUUCAUAGCAGGAAUGAUAUAUCACUGGGGCUUAACGGAAAUAGGUUUUAAUCCCUGCCUGCAGAUGCAUAGUCUCAUUUACAGACAUUUCAGGAGCAGUGCAUCAAUUAGCAAUCUUCUUUUUGCUUUUGCUUGUCACUGCUUACUCAGAUGCAGAUAGACAGGAGUCAAAGGGGUGGUGUAUUACCACUUUACACAGGGAAACGUGUUAACAGUACUGCUCUUAGGUCACGUGAAAACUGCAGGAGUGCCCACUGCGUACUUAAAAUGAGGCUAAAAUAUACUGAUUAUAGAAAUUAAAACUGAAAACCAGCAUAUUGUCACCCUUCAUUUUUAUAGAACAAGUCUCGUUCAGUGCUUCAUGUCACAGAUAAUAUAAUUUACCAGGGUUUACAGAAAUAAUUCGGAAUGAACGAACUCACCUACUGAAACAGUUUUGUGUAUCUAAAACUACUGGGAUCUCAGCCAUCAAAAUUUGGGCCUAACCAGCACCUGAAGAACUGUCUUACUUUCUGCACCUUGGUGACUUCACUGCGAUGUGACAUUAACAAGCCAGGGUAGUUAUGGGGAAAUGCUGUUUGAGAGACCAUCCUUCAGACAACAUAUAAAACAUGAGCUUGACUUUCAUGGCAAUGUUUACACAGAUGAUUAACACACUCCAUACCAAAAUUACCUCAAUGUUUCAAGGUGAACAUGGUAAUUUUCUGAAGAUCUUGUGAGACAUUAACAGCAACCAUGUUAUUGCAAUCACACAUGAACAGCUAUUGGAUUGCAAAGCAUUUUUAAGGGAAAAAAGAAUAUCCACGCCAGUUAUUUUGAGAUGAGUUUCAAAAGCAACAGAAUGAGCGUUAACUGGAGAAGAGACCCAUCUUUAGCAGCUAUUGCUACUCUGCUCACCUUAGUUACAAAUUAACAUGGGUCUAUGAAGAUUUUGCUCUAAAAUUCAUGGAUUCCUUUUCUUACUAUUUUCCUGAAUAAAUACAUAUUUACACUUCAAAAUGAAUGCCAUGACUGAGCUCUGAAAGCAGAAACUGCAAACCACUUAGGCCUGAACAGGAUUGUCAUCAAAAACAUUACAAAGGUCACAAGCCAAACUGCUGAACUGCAAGACAGCACUGUGCUCUAGAAGCAAUACCAAAGAAAAUUUGGUGCUUUCCACACACACACGUAAAAAAAAAAACCAAAACCAAACCCCCAAUCAACCAAAGAGUUCUCACUUUAUUUUUAGUGAAAAAGAUCAACAAAAUAACAAACGGAGCAGGGAAGUAAAGGGAGAAGAAAGUUCCUAAUUACAAUUACCUGGCUAUGCAAUACUGGUGAAUGUUUGAUAGUUCUGUAUUUAACUGAAGAGAAAUACACAAGUCCUACUACAUAUUCAGUGUGCACUACAGGACCCAGGAAAGAUACAAAGCAGAUGGACAACCUACACUGGCAGAAGCAUAAAAUUGUUGCAGACUUUAAAAGCCAAACACGCAGCAGUCUGUCUGCUCUUUCUGAGCCCAACAGUAUCACUGCUGGUUUCAACAAGGCAUGACCAAGCUCUGUAACCGUAACACAAGCGUACCUCUGGUACCUUUCACAGUUGCAACACACUGGAUAAAUCACUUAAAAAAAAAAAAAGUAUCUACUAUCCCACCUAUCAUCACAGCUACUAUGCUACUAUUCUGGAACAGCAAAGGACAAAUUGUAGUAAGUUCCAUCUCUGGUCAAGUUUUUAAAGCUAAAUAUCAAUAUGGGUACUGGCAGAAGAUAACGAGAGUAGUGUUCAAAAUUCAGACUAAGCUUUUGGUGUGUUUUCUCCCCACACAGAAACACUGUUCAUUUUUGGUUUUUUGCUUUCAUAUAGACCCUCCUUUGCAAAACUGGAAGCUACAGGACAAAAAUAAACAUUUUCAAAGGACAGGACAUACUGCUAACUGAAAAAUAAAACCUAAAUACAGUAAACAAAUAAUGAAAAGCAGUAUGAAGUAUUUUAAAAGUUGAUUUUCAUAAAUUCCUACCUCUUCUCUAAAUUCCUCCCUUAGAUGAGUGGUCAGUGGCCUUUCUUCAAAGAUGAUAAGAGGCACGCUCAAAAUUGAGUAGUAAGAAGAGCGUACUACAUAACAAGCUUCCGUUUGAUGCAUAGCAAACAACAGGAUGAUGAUUUAUGUAGUUAUUAGACUCAAGCACACAAAACGAAGCAUAUAAAAGUUCUUUUUAAAAUUAUUUAUUCCAACAACAGGUUUUCAAUUAAGAGGAUUACAUAGUAAAACAACUGUUCUCACUGGUAGGGAAGUAGUUUUAAAAUCUGAUUUGUAGCCAAAAGAUGCCUCUAAAUUGGCUUAGUUAUAGAUUUCAAGAUUAUUUAUUUGUGUUAUUACAACAGUUCUGAUUAAACCUUUUAAAACAUACAAAUGCCAACAAUACAUAACCAGAUUUCUUGUUCACAUUAAGUGAAAUGCCUCACCAUUGUGUAACAGACCAGUCCCUGGUGAACAAGACAUACAAGUUCUCCUUGUGAAAUAUAAAGAGGAGAUAAAUAAAACAUGGAAAAAAUUUAGAGGAAGCCAAACCUGUUUAAAUUAGAACACAAUGCAGUUUAAUAAGGGCCAUGCAUGCAAAACAUCUUGAAGAAUUCAGUAGGCUACUUUAUAACAGAAUAGAAAAUGUCAACCGCUCCCCCCCCACCUCUUCCGUAGUUAAAAACGGGGAGGGGAAAUCAGAGAGGUUGACUCCUAAAGCCUUCACUCUCUUCCUUCCUCACCACCCACUAAAAUAGGAGCUCUUUUUUUUUCUAAUGACGCACAUCUAAAAGCAAUAACUUGCUCUAUGAUGCCUGGUAAUAGGGCCCAAAACACUGAAACAUUUAAACACCUAAAUUUAAACUCUCCAAUCCUGCCAGUGGAUAAGAGAGACUAGAAAAUGUCUCUUUGAGGGGACCCUGGUCCUGCAGAUAAAAGUAGGAAGGUGAAUAGCACUCGAGUCUGAAUUUCAGCCUGUGCCUCAAAAAUAGCUUGAUUUUUUUUUUUUUUGGGGGGGGGGGGGGGGGCGCGGUAGAAAAACAAAUCACAUGUAUGUUCUGAAGACAAGGCUUGUCCUCAGUGACUCCUCCUAUGUGCCUUUUUUUUUUUUUUUUACUGUCAGAUAAGGAAAUAGUUUCUCAUUAAUUCCUUAACAAUAAAUACUCACCCACAGUAGAUCACGGUACAAUGUAUGCUAUAAAUAUCAAAUGACUAAUAUUUAGUUCCUUGCACACAACACACUUCUGAUACCCGUUUCUGAUUAAGCUAUGGAAAUUCUUAGAUUAAGGAUCACUAGCAUAAGCAAAGGUAACAGUGGCCUGCAUUUGUUUUGCACUUGUUCUGAUCUUUCCUCCAUCAUAAGCCACAUACCUCUUCUUAUGUUAAACAUUAAAUGUUUUGUUAGAUCCUGUUAGAUUCUACAACUCAAGAACAACGGAGAGCAACUCUGUACCUAUGAACUCAAGUUUGAAAGGGACUUUUAGUACAAGAGUAACCCAUUCCUAAGAAAUAGCAUCAUGAAGUUGAACUCUACAACAGUUAACUAACACUAUUACAAAUUACUGUUAGCUUUCUUUCCACAUCCCUCAACAUAGCAGGCUGACACUAUAAAGCCAAUUAAGGGCCUUAUGUGUGCAUCUUUUGACUACUACUCUGUCUGUAAGGUUUGCACCGUAUAUCGGAAUUUAAACAGCAUUCGACAGGGUCCUGAUUUCAUAUUUUUUAUUUUAAGAAAAUAUUUUUGAUAGGCUGUAUUUAUGUUUAUCUGUGUAUGUCUUUACUAGGUCAUACUGCUCAACAAGAGCAUACUAAUAUUCAGACCUGAUCCGUGACAUUUUGUAGAUAUUUUUUGGAUAGAUAUCUAUGCAGUCUUCCUCCUAACUGGAGAUCAAAGCAGAGACACUGACACACUCAAACAGCCAAAGAAUGUGUUAACUGGUCAGUAGGUAUGCCCCUAAUAAAUCCAAGACAGUUUUUAAGUGCUUAGCAGUUUGUUUGACAGGCCACAUUUUACAUAAUUCCAUGAAGAAGCAGAGUUGUUGCUGCAAGUGAGAUAAAAAGAUCAAUUCUGGUUUUGAGGGAGUGAUGAACAAGAAGUGCACUAGCCUUUUCUUGAGUCCAGGUAAGGAAUACCUGCAGAAGGUUAAGUUUGACAAGAAUACUGCCAACUACCCUAGUUUAGGAUUCAACAGGACAAUACUCUCCUCACACUGCCAGGAGAGUACAAAGCUAUAGAAUAGUGCCUGCAGAAAGACUAGGAAUGUUUGGAAGAAUGUCUUUUCUCCCCAGAACUGCUGCAUUCAAGAAGCAUCAAUCUCUUCCUCUAGGGAAACUCUGAACUGUCCUGGUUUCCAGUCACUAGUAGCCAAAACAGAUGAUAGAUUUAAAUCUUUGAGGACAGUCGGAGCACAACGCAAACUCACAUGAAUCAGGCAACCAACCUUAAAAGGAAAUAACAAAUCAAUAAAGUAGACAGAUCAGAGGUAGUUAAGUGCCUGGCACUCCACGGCUCAGCAUGCAGUGCUCAUUUCAAUCUGAGCACAUGGCAUCGCAUGCUGCUUUGAGACAAUCUCAACAUGACUCAUUACAGGCUGAGGCUACACAUCACCACUUUCCAAGUUCUCAGAUUUAAGCCAAGCGAAUACAGCCUUCAAGGUCUUGGCAAGUUGUUCAUGACAUUAAACUGUGCAUUGUCAGUCCUCCCAUAUGCGAGGGCCACAUGUCCUUUCUCUUCCAAAUGUGCUUUAUCCAACUCACUAAUUCAGACUGUACAGCUUUACUAUGAAGUCAUUCUUGCAACCUUGCAACUACAUCUUCCUGGAUAUGUAGCUGGGGAAUUACUCUUCCUCCUAAAAAGGCUGUUAAACACAUGCAGUUAUUGGAUCUUUUUAAAAAGGUCCAGCUCCAGGCAGUGCACACUAUUCAGGUUGAGUAAGAAUUUUUAGCAGCUAUGUGCAUGAAACUGCCACUGGCAAAAGCAGUCUCCUGAAAAGAAAUAAAGACACAGACAGUAGCAAAUAUGUCUAAUUUUAUCUACAUUCCUAUCAAAAAAAAAAAGCACCAAAAACACUGCAGAGAAAUGUUAAUAUGUCUGAUAACUGAAGGUAUCUGAUUUUGAAAAAAUUAGUUGGAAAGAGAACCCUUUUUUCCCUUCCAUUCUAACCCCUGAUGAUCUUCCUCCUCCUACAUGAGCAUGUAGUUAUGCUGAAGUAACUGAAGGAUCCAGAUAAUAUAUCAUGAAGAAUCAUUUACACUAUAAAGGCAGAUGAAAACGGGAAACGUCAUAUUAUAUUUAGUUUAAUACUAUACUGCUUUUCCUUCAUAUAUUAAUAGUUUUGCAUCAGUAAACUCUCACUGAGCUCUCCUACAACUCUAAAUUCCCUUCUGCUGUGCUAUUUCCAUUUUCUCAGUUACUCCCGCAGCUGAGACCAUGACUUUCUUCUCCCUCCUGUACUAGCUUGUGUGUGGCCUUCUGAUCCUGGGAAAAGACAGAAUAAACACAGAACACUAAAUACCAUCCUCAACAGAGCAUGAUGCGAAGUGAGACUGAUGACUGUUGGGAGAAGUUGUUCGGUACACUGCCGUAAAUAAGCAGAGUAAGUGCGUAAGCUAGCAAGACAGACUUUGCAUGAUGUAAAGAAAUCCCCUAACAUUAGCGUAAAAAGAAGCUGCAGACCAAAUUCACCCAUUAGCAUGUUUAAGAACCACAAGAGAAUGAUACUUGAACAACACAGAUAUACUUCAGACAGCAUUCUUUGUUUGCUGGUUACAGAAACCUUUAAGAUGUGUAACAGCUUUCCUGCAAGCAAUAGCUUAGAAGCAAUGUGUACGAGCAAUGGGUGUACAGCUUUUGACUACUGGUGUAGCUAAAAAUGCCAUGUUCAAUAGAGUACCACAUUCUCUGAUUUUUAAGUUUAAGAAUCCCAAUCUAUACAUCCCUGCACAGUUCUGAGAAGAAAAAUACAUGGCGCUUGGAAAGGAAAGCCAGGUUCCAAUGUGAGCUUGGCAGGGUCAGGUCCUUCACUUUCAAAUUCCUUCAGCUGCUCAAGAGACACUAGUCAAGGACUUUUCAAGGAAAAAACUGAUAUAUACAGCAGACAGCAAAUCAAAAUGUAAAAAGCAUUAAAAAGCCUGCGCCUGGUCAACUGCCAGAUCAUAGCACUAAAAUCCUAGGAAUGCCGUGAUUAUUGCAGGAAAGGUGGAUGGUAGGAACUGCUUUUUCCCUCGCUGGUCUAGCAGUACAGAAAUGGUGGCACAAAACUGGAAGAAUAAUUGGGUCAAGUUAUUCCCAUAGAGCACAUUCUCAUAAGAGAUUUCUCCAGGAUCUCCCAGUCAGAGGCACAUCUGAUAUCUCUUGACACCCCCAUUCCCUAGGGACGUCUGCCUCAUUCUCCGUAUCUCCCUCCUGCUUACUCACUUAGCGCUGCGGAGCCCAAAUACAGUGACCUAGAUUCCACUUGUGUACCACCAACAGAUCUUUCAGUUGGACUGACAGGGUAUGAUCUCCACUAAUGUUGGAGGGAAAAAGAACUCAGCCUGAUUUUCAGAACCCAGGUGGAACCUGCAGGAUGAACAACAGGCAUGUGGGUGCACACAUGUGCCUGUAGUGGGUAGAAAUAAGCAACUGGGUUCUUUAACUUAGAAUUGUAACAUUGACUUUAGAACUGCUACUGUUUAAGUCAGAACCCGCUUUCUCUAUGUUACUGUUAAAUGACAAUGCAAACAUUUAUCAUGAUGCGUUUGAGAGCUCUUGACAAGCUGUUUGCCUGCUUCAUAGAGUUCUGUUUGUUCAAAAGCCCUGCCUGGGUUGACUCUUCUGUUUAUACAGAUGAACUCUCCCAUAUGGCAAUGGUGAGAGAGUAAAAGCAACAGAGAAACGAGCGGUCAUAGAUUCCAUCCCUUUCAUUAAUAUAAUUGGAUAAAUAAGAAUACUAACAUUUGUGGUAGUCUAAAUAAGGCUUGGGAGCACUCAUGAACUCUGCUGUUACAUGAUAUGCAGGUCAAUGAAAGAAAAAGCUGAAUUUCAAACAUACAGUAGUGUUCAGUUCAGAAUCCCAUACAAUUGGUAUAGAUUCUAGCCUCCUGCUUCAACUAAAACAAGAUUAAAUUCUGAGCUAAGUGCAACAUCCUUUACCACAAGAGUAAAUAUCCCCUCUUUCCACCUACCUACUAAGUGAUGAGCAUUCCUUGAAGAAACAAGAUACAGCAGUUUGAGAAGGAGGAAACUAAAAUGCUAUUAUGAUAAAAACUUCCAAAAGGACCUCAUGCUAUAGCAAAUGGGAACAAAAUUCCGUAGCCCCUGCCUGGGACGAUCAAGUCAGUCAUAGCUUGUAGGGGAUCACUGAGUAAGUGAAAAGUACAUUUAAAAACACAUUCACAUCUUUAUGUUUUAACACACUAUUGUAAAGGAAAUGUAUGUGAUGCUUUUGCUUAAGUGUUUGUGUACCUGAAAUUGCAAUAGGGAACUCAAAAUGAUUGCAGCUGUCAAGUUAGAGUCAGAGGCUUAAACUGUGAUGUUUAUUUAAUCUUUCCGUAAGCUUAUUAUUACAGUUUCAAGCACAGAUUCUCCUUUCAGGUCAACCUCUCCUCUUCAGGUCAAUUUGCUUAAAGGUCUAAGCUUAUUAACUUGGUAAGAACUUAAGUGCUGGGGGACAAAGGAAAAUCCAUACACUUAAAAGAUCAAAUGCCUUUUCCCCAUGUUUUACUUUAGGAGGAAGUACAUGAAAUAAGACUUUUCAUUUGAUGUGCUAUAGGGUAUUUAUACCACAAGAGGGCACUAAAACCAUACUUAAAGCAGAUAAUUAAGCUACUGCUGUAUGUAUUACAAAACUAAGUCACAAAGUAAGGAACCAUGCACUGCUUUCAAACAUACACACUCACUACAUAAAAGCAUUCCUCUAUCUUGAUGGCAGGCACAUACAUUUAUAGUGUACUCGCACUACCUCUACUUCCAACAGAGCAGCACAAAGCUCUUUGUAAAAGCACUGUCCUGCCAAGUAAUGAAAGACAGUGAGAGUAAAGAAACUCGAAGCUUGAAGCAAGUUGGGCUUCCAUGUUUUCAAUACCAGUCUAUUAAUAAAGCUUAAGAUUUUGAAUUUUGAUCUUGUCUAAAAGAACGUGAAGUGCAUGAACUCACAAUGAAGUGGAACUGUCAGAGGGAGAUGCUUACAGUCAGAUGAAAAAAAAUUUGAGUACAAAUUACUUCUGCUUGUCCAAGCAGCAAUUCUGUUUACACACAUAAGGAGAAGUCCUAUGCAACAGCAAUUAACAAAUCAACAUGUUUCAACACUAAAAAUAUGCUUCUAGUAUACUGUAACCUUUUUAAUAAUGCUUGAAAACAUCUGAAUGUUUGCAUCAACCAAUGAAGUGCCAAAGGAACAAUCCCUUAGGCCUCAGUCGGAUAUUCUUCUACAGACUUUAUUACAUUAUAAAAGCUACUUGCAAUUUUUUAAGCCAUAAAGGUGCGCAAAACAAAUCCUGGCAAUGCACCACUUCAGUAUCAGACAAAAAUAAUGUUGGCUUUCUCUACCAGCUUAAUGACCAGUACAAAGCCAAAGUACCUCAUUUCUGCAGCUCUGAAAGUUGGCUAUUUUUUCAUAUUAAGGUUUUUUUACACUUGUUAUGCAAGUCUCUUGGUCCUAUUAUCUGUGUGUCAGAUAUGGCUGCUUAGGUAUCUGUCAAGCAACAAAAUUUCUGCUAAUUAGCAUGCUCCAGGAACUGACUUCCCAGUAACUUCAGAGUUAAUCAUUCAGUAGCAACAUGCUUAACUCUGGCCAAGUCACCCCUAGGACCACCGCAGGAUAAUCCUGUAACAGUGAAGUCUUCCGACCAUCUUCUCAGUUAUUUGGGAACAAGGCAGUAUGUGGCUGUGGGUCCAAGUAACGGAGGUAUAUGUAGCAAUGCAGCACUAUUGCUGUAUAAUAUCCCCAUCAGUUGCAACUGACUGAACUCCUGCAGUUGCCUAAAAUACAUGUCAUAGGUGACAGAGUUGUACUAAAUUUUGGACACUUCACAUACCUCCUCCAUAAGAAAAAAAACACACCAAAAACCUUUUCAAAUUUAGAAAUCCUUUUACAAUGAAAACAUUUAUAUAAACCUCAAAAUAGGAGGCAGAAGUUAAAUAGAAAAAUGUUGGUCUGAGAUUUUUAAUUCCUCUUCUCACAUGCAUGAAGUGACUUGAGUUUAAAAUACAAUUUUCUAUGUAGAACAGUCCUUAAGUUGGGGGGGGGGGGG